GAUGAACGCUGGCGGCGUGCCUAAUACAUGCAAGUCGAGCGAACAGACGAGGAGCUUGCUCCUUCGACGUUAGCGGCGGACGGGUGAGUAACACGUAGGUAACCUACCUAUAAGACUGGGAUAACUUCGGGAAACCGGAGCUAAUACCGGAUAAUAUUUCGAACCGCAUGGUUCGAUAGUGAAAGAUGGCUUUGCUAUCACUUAUAGAUGGACCUGCGCCGUAUUAGCUAGUUGGUAAGGUAACGGCUUACCAAGGCAACGAUACGUAGCCGACCUGAGAGGGUGAUCGGCCACACUUGAACUGAGACACGGUCCAGACUCCUACGGGAGGCAGCAGUAGGGAAUCUUCCGCAAUGGGCGAAAGCCUGACGGAGCAACGCCGCGUGAGUGAUGAAGGUCUUCGGAUCGUAAAACUCUGUUAUUAGGGAAGAACAAACGUGUAAGUAACUGUGCACGUCUUGACGGUACCUAAUCAGAAAGCCACGGCUAACUACGUG
rnacentral:rRNA from 1 species